ACAACACAGCUAUUAUUACGCGGCCAUGAAGCAACAAUAAAAUUUUACGCCAUUGUCAAACAGCUGGCAACACGGGAAUACAAAAUGCGCACGAUACUGGCAACACUGGGAAUCAUAGCAAUAACACCAAUGAUACAGAGUGAAGUCAUCCCUGUUAGAGUUCUCGAGGGAGGCACUGUGUUUGCGCCUUGGGGAAAUGAUCGAAUGGAUUUGUAUAAACUGGUAAAAUUCGCUUCUGUAGAUAAUGCUGUGUUUAUCGUCUAUCGUUUAUUCCCAACGGCUCGACUGCUUGACAAGUUGGCAAUAUUCUGCCUAUUUGUAGUUACCAGUAUGGCAUAUCUUCCGACGAACAAUCCUCCGGCCGCACGUGGAAGCAGGUCCAGGGUUCUUCAAGUCGGACCCGGUGGAGUACUCUCCAAACAGACUGGCCCAGGAGUACAAAAAGUUGUUUGCAUUGAAGAAGAGGAUGGAGGAAAGGGAUAAGCCAUUGUCGCCAUAAAUUAGUUAUUUUAAUUCAUCUGCACCUUUUUGAAUGUACAAUUAUAAGUUCUAUAUGGUUUGAAAUUAGAAUUUGCCUUUAACUCGGAGGGGUAAAGAAUAAAAGACGUGGGUGCAAGUAUUGAUGAAAUUAUUUUGUCAUUGUCUAUAUUUUAGUGGAAAAUACUCUGUUGACAGGCAUUUUUCAACUAAACGCGCCGCUAUUUUAAAUGUUACCCUAUGAAUAUAUAAUUUGUUUACUGAGAAAAGCUAAAAAUUCUGAACUACGAGUCGGUAAACAGGAUGGGGUAAAUGCAUGAUAAAUGUCCUACUUUGUGCCACUGUGGUUAUACACUACAGUAAAGAAUGUUUUUUCUUUUUUUUAUUCAUAAUAGGAAAGCGU